rnacentral:rRNA from 1 species
AUUGAACGCUGGCGGCAGGCUUAAUACAUGCAAGUCGAGCGGGGUGAUGGUGCUUGCACUAUCACUUAGCGGCGGACGGGUGAGUAAUGCUUAGGAAUCUGCCUAUUAGUGGGGGACAACAUCUCGAAAGGGAUGCUAAUACCGCAUACGUCCUACGGGAGAAAGCAGGGGAUCACUUGUGACCUUGCGCUAAUAGAUGAGCCUAAGUCGGAUUAGCUAGUUGGUGGGGUAAAGGCCUACCAAGGCGACGAUCUGUAGCGGGUCUGAGAGGAGGAUCCGCCACACUGGGACUGAGACACGGCCCAGAGUCCUACGGGAGGCAGCAGUGGGGAAUAUUGGACAAUGGGGGGAACCCUGAUCCAGCCAUGCCGCGUGUGUGAAGAAGGCCUUAUGGUUGUAAAGCACUUUAAGCGAGGAGGAGGCUCUUUUGGUUAAUACCCAAGAUGAGUGGACGUUACUCGCAGAAUAAGCACCGGCUAACUCUGUGCCAGCCGCCGCCGUAA